rnacentral:rRNA from 1 species
AACGGACGAGAAGCUUGCUUCUCUGAUGUUAGCGGCGGACGGGUGAGUAACACGUGGAUAACCUACCUAUAAGACUGGGAUAACUUCGGGAAACCGGAGCUAAUACCGGAUAAUAUUUUGAACCGCAUGGUUCAAAAGUGAAAGACGGUCUUGCUGUCACUUAUAGAUGGAUCCGCGCUGCAUUAGCUAGUUGGUAAGGUAACGGCUUACCAAGGCAACGAUGCAUAGCCGACCUGAGAGGGUGAUCGGCCACACUGGAACUGAGACACGGUCCAGACUCCUACGGGAGGCAGCAGUAGGGAAUCUUCCGCAAUGGGCGAAAGCCUGACGGAGCAACGCCGCGUGAGUGAUGAAGGUCUUCGGAUCGUAAAACUCUGUUAUUAGGGAAGAACAUAUGUGUAAGUAACUGUGCACAUCUUGACGGUACCUAAUCAGAAAGCCACGGCUAACUACGUGCCAGCAGCCGCGGUAAUACGUAGGUGGCAAGCGUUAUCCGGAAUUAUUGGGCGUAAAGCGCGCGUAGGCGGUUUUUUAAGUCUGAUGUGAAAGCCCACGGCUCAACCGUGGAGGGUCAUUGGAAACUGGAAAACUUGAGUGCAGAAGAGGAAAGUGGAAUUCCAUGUGUAGCGGUGAAAUGCGCAGAGAUAUGGAGGAACACCAGUGGCGAAGGCGACUUUCUGGUCUGUAACUGACGCUGAUGUGCGAAAGCGUGGGGAUCAAACAGGAUUAGAUACCCUGGUAGUCCACGCCGUAAACGAUGAGUGCUAAGUGUUAGGGGGUUUCCGCCCCUUAGUGCUGCAGCUAACGCAUUAAGCACUCCGCCUGGGGAGUACGACCGCAAGGUUGAAACUCAAAGGAAUUGACGGGGACCCGCACAAGCGGUGGAGCAUGUGGUUUAAUUCGAAGCAACGCGAAGAACCUUACCAAAUCUUGACAUCCUU